CAGCAAACAAAUCAACUGGCAGAUUGUGCUGGCAAGUAAUGGGAAGCUGCUAGCAGUGGUUCAGGAUCAGUGUGUGGAGAUAAGGUCUGCGAGGGAUGACUUUGGUUCGGUCAUUGGGAAGUGCCAGGGUAAGACUGUACUUUAUGGAUCACAUAUAUUACUGUGACUGGACAGAAGCCAUACCUCAGCACGGAUGACAUCACACUGUACUGUAUUGACGAGGGAAAGAGUGAGAGCAUGAGAGAGAUAUGGCGGAAGGAAAAUGUCCAGUUUUAACAUUAUUGGGAGCUUACGCAUAGUGUGUGUGCAUGUGAGUGUGGAAGAGAGAGACACAGAGACACACACACAGAGAA